UACGAACGCUGGCGGCGUGCCUAAUACAUGCAAGUCGAACGCAUUUUCUUUCACCUUAGCUUGCUACACCGAAAGAAAAUGAGUGGCGAACGGGUGAGUAACACGUGGGUAACCUGCCCAUCAGCGGGGGAUAACACUUGGAAGCAGGUGCUAAUACCGCAUAAUUCCAUUUACCGCAUGGUAGAUGGGUGAAAGGCGCUUUUGCGUCACUGAUGGAUGGACCCGCGGUGCAUUAGCUAGUUGGUGGGGUAACGGCCUACCAAGGCUGCGAUGCAUAGCCGACCUGAGAGGGUGAUCGGCCACACUGGGACUGAGACACGGCCCAGACUCCUACGGGAGGCAGCAGUAGGGAAUCUUCGGCAAUGGACGCAAGUCUGACCGAGCAACGCCGCGUGAGUGAAGAAGGUUUUCGGAUAGUAAAACUCUAUUGUUAGAAAAGAACAAGGAUGAGAGUGGAAAGUUCAUCCCUUGACGGUAUCUAACCAGAAAGCCACGGCUAA
rnacentral:rRNA from 1 species